GAAGUGAUGGGAGAUCGUCUACAUUGGCAUGAGGCCCAGUGUGACCUCCACACUCUGGGGGUCAAAAGAAAGGCAUCUCUAUGAUCAUCUCCCAAGAAAGACGUAUUUUAAACUCUCUGGGCAACGACAUCCAUGACAGGAAGAAAUGAAGUUAUUAUGGAAGAUAUCUCCCUUGAAAAGAAUAGCUGAUGAGGUCCAGCAUAUGCAGAAGAGAGAAAAUGUGCAGUGUUUGCCUUUCUAGGCCUGCCUGAGUUUGCUGAAUUCAAGCAUCUCCAGAUCUACCUAUUUUCCUCCAGGUGGUUAGAGAACAAAUGAUCACAGGACCGCAGAGCUUACAGGAGCAGCCUCCUGAACCAUGGCUUUCAGAAUAGUGGACUGUCGCGACCACCCUCGACCAGCAAGAAUGACACAACACACU